rnacentral:other from 1 species
UUAUCCCUGCGAUGUUGGUGCAACUUUAUCGAUUUUAGCCUACAAGUUCCGAUCAGGGAGUCGCACUACCGGCCCUCGCGGCCGGUGAUGACGCCCACUUAUGAUAGGGAGCUUUAAUCGGUAAAGAUUCACGGCAUCGCGGGGUUUUU